rnacentral:rRNA from 1 species
CGAUGGUACGCGAGGAACCUUACCUGGGUUUGACAUACGGAGGGAAGUGGCAGCGAUGCCACUGUGUCGCGGGACGACUCCGUACAGGUGCUGCAUGGCUGUCGUCAGCUCGUGCCGUGAGGUGUUGGGUUAAGUCCCGGCAACGAGCGCAACCCCUACUGCCAGUUACUAACAGGUGAAGCUGAGGACUCUGGCGGAACUGCCGGUGACAAACCGGAGGAAGGUGGGAUGACGUCAAGUCAUCAUGGCCCUUAUGUCCAGGGCUACACACGUGCUACAAUGGGCGAGACAGAGCGACGCGAAGCCGCGAGGUGGAGCAAAUCGCAGAAAAUCGUCCUCAGUUCGGAUUGGAGUCUGAAACCCGACUCCAUGAAGGUGGAAUCGCUAGUAAUCGCGCAUCAGCAUGGCCGCGGUCCGAAUACGUUCCGGCCUU